AAGGCAAGCUAGAUGAUCGCGGGCGGCCGAAAGGCCGCUUGAGGAAAGUCCGGGCUCCAUAGGACAUGACGCCGGGUAACGCCCGGGAGCGGUAACGCUAUAGAAAGCACCACAGAAAAUAUACCGCCGGUUUUCCGGUAAGGGUGAAAUGGUGGGGUAAAAGCCCACCGCGUAGCUGGCAACAGCUAUGGCAGGGUAAGCCUCGUCAGGAGCAAAACCAAGCAGCAGGUUGGGUAGUCCGUCUUUAGCCUGCGGGUCGGUUGCUACAGGGUAUUGGUAACAAUGCAUGUGGAUAGAUGAUCAUCAUAAACAGAACCCGGCUUAUUGCUUGCCUUUUUU
rfam:Sphaerochaeta pleomorpha str. Grapes, complete genome.